rnacentral:rRNA from 1 species
GAUAACCUCGGGAUCAUGGAGAAGAUAAUACCCUAUAGACUAUGGAGGCUGGAAUGCACUGUAGUCGAAAGGUCCGCCGCCAUAGGAUGGUUUCUCGCACAGAUAGGUUGUUGUUGGGGUAACGGCCCAACAAGCCUGUAAUCGGUACGGGUUGUGGGAGCAAGAGCCCGGAGAUGGAUUCUGAGACACGAAUCCAGGCCCUACGGGGCGCAGCAGGCGCGAAAACUUUACAAUGCGGGAAACCGUGAUAGGGGAACUCCGAGUGCCCGUAAAAUCGGGCUGUCCACCAGUUUAAAUAACUGGUGAAAAAGGGCGGGCAAGACCGGUGCCAGCCGCCGCGUUAUACUGGCGGCUCGAGUGGUGGCACUAUUACUGGGCUAAAGCGUUCGUAGUGGUGUGUAGUCCUCGCGCACCCUUCGGCUCACCGGAAGCGUCUCAGGAUAUGGCAGACUAGGACGGGAGAGUGAGGGUACCAGGGUAGGAGUGAAUCUGUAUCUUGGGGACACCUGUGCGAGGGCUCACCAGAACGCUCGACAGUGAGGACGAAGCUGGGACCAACGGAUAAAUACCCGGGUAGCCCCCUGUAACGAUGCGCGUAGUGUAUCCUGACACAAUCAUGAGGUGCGAAAAAAUCCUGAACGUGCGCUGGGAGUAGGUCCAAGUGAACUUAAGAUUGGGGGGACACACAAGUGAGCCUGCGUUAUCGAUCCCGCGGAACCCCCUAACGCGAUGAUGCGGGGGAAGCCACUGAUACUGAAGAGUGAGGCGUCUAGUCGAUGUGACUCUGUAUAAGAAGACCGACC